rnacentral:lncRNA from 10 species
AGGUAGCUUUUCCUAUCAGUUUUCCCUUGUGUUGGCACUCAAUUUUCAUAAUACGAUAUGUAAUGUGAUAAGGCCUACCCAUUAUUAAUAGUAGCAAUAGCAUGGCAAGGUUAUUCCUAUGCAGUUUUCUUAAAGAACAAAGGGCCAAGCUACUGAUGAAGCGAAAUUACCUAUGAUUUUAGAACCAGGACAAAACAAAUUAUUCUCUUUCAAAUAUCUGCAGACUCUACUUAAAAAAGGUUUCUCUUAGUGAUAAGCCCACCUUCCACCUCCACCCUUUCCUCCUUCAUGUGGAAACUAUACAUCAAGGUAACACCUGUUUGCUUUCUGCAGGGGCCUCAGAGUAUGUCAGCUGGGGUCAGACGGGAACAGGAGUCUGGCUCAACACACAUUUAUUGCACUCCUGUUUCAUGCCAAGAAAUGUACCAAAAUCUGGGACUGUGUAACACAGCAAAGGAAAAGACUCAUCUCCAGGAAGCCCCCUUGUCUAGGAAGAGAAAUUGAAUAUCAGCAUAAGGUGGUGAAAAGCUGUGAAGGAGAUGAGUGCCAGGAGUCCAUGGAGGAAGGAUUCUAGCCUGGACAGGUGAUUGUGGUGAAUAGUCAUGAGAAUCUGGGAACUGGCUCCUGCUCUGUCUAUCUUGGAGAUGCAUCUUUUGUGAGAAGCCAGGGCAAGAAUAGGGAGGCUUAGGCAAU